AUACGUAGGUGGCAAGGCGUUAUCCGGAUUUAUUGGGCGUAAAGCGAGCGCAGGCGGUUUUUUAAGUCUGAUGUGAAAGCCCUCGGCUUAACCGAGGAAGCGCAUCGGAAACUGGGAAACUUUGAGUGCAGAAGAGGACAGUGGAACUCCAUGUGUAGCGGUGAAAUGCGUAGAUAUAUGGAAGAACACCAGUGGCGAAGGCGGCUGUCUGGUCUGUAACUGACGCUGAGGCUCGAAAGUAUGGGUAGC
rnacentral:rRNA from 1 species